AUUGAACGCUGGCGGCAGGCUUAACACAUGCAAGUCGAGCGGGGUGAUGGUGCUUGCACUAUCACUUAGCGGCGGACGGGUGAGUAAUGCUUAGGAAUCUGCCUAUUAGUGGGGGACAACAUCUCGAAAGGGAUGCUAAUACCGCAUACGUCCUACGGGAGAAAGCAGGGGAUCACUUGUGACCUUGCGCUAAUAGAUGAGCCUACGUCGGAUUAGCUAGUUGGUGGGGUAAAGGCCUACCAAGGCGACGAGCUGUAGCGGGUCUGAGAGGAUGAUCCGCCACACUGGGACUGAGACACGGCCCAGACUCCUACGGGAGGCAGCAGUGGGGAAUAUUGGACAAUGGGGGGAACCCUGAUCCAGCCAUGCCGCGUGUGUGAAGAAGGCCUUAUGGUUGUAAAGCACUUUAAGCGAGGAGGAGGCUCUUUUGGUUAAUACCCAGAAUGAGUGGACGUUACUCGCAGAAUAAGCACCGGCUAACUCUGUGCCAGCAGCCGCCGUAA
rnacentral:rRNA from 1 species